GACUGGGGGCCCCAAGCCCGGUGUCCUUUGUCGCUGCACACGAGCCCGGAGGUGUUCAGCUCGGCUUGCUGUCCUUCCCGGCUCCUCUGCUAGGUCCAGGCUUGGACGGCUGAUACGGAAGCCAAACUCUCCUGACCAGCAGAGAGAAGAGAUUCCAUCUUCCAGAAUUCACCACUGUGUCCUUCCCCAUAUGUUCUUAGACUUGUUUUUGAUAAUUAAAGAAAUAUUGUCAAGUAAUAAUCUAAAAUAUGUUAAAAUAUUUUAUUCAUUU